AAGCUUGAAGCGAAAAUCGCAAUUAGUUUCGACCUAAUAAUUUGGUGGCAUGAAUUCAUCCAAGCUUA
rnacentral:tRNA from 2 species